rnacentral:lncRNA from 10 species
AAAGUACCUGGACCUCUAUGCCCAUGCUUCUAGCAGCCAGCCUCCUAAAAUACCUCUAGUUGAAGCCAAAGUUAGAAUCCUUCUACGAAACUACAGGAUUAAAAUGGAAUGGUUACAUGACCCAGGCUUGACCAAUCAGAUCAUCCAAACCCUUUGCCACAGUGAUUGGUCCAGGGAUACAUGCAUGAGCCAGCUCAGGCCUAAGCCACACUCAUCUUGUGGAUGACACUGGAGCUGUGACAGUCUGUUCUGUCCAGGCAGGGUGUCUUUUAUUUUUAUUGGAAAUAAGAUUAUCACAGUACGCAAGGCCCAAACAAUUGGUGAUAAUGAAGAAACUCUACUACCAGACGUUGCGGGAUGCCUCAAUGACCUAAUCCAGUAAAUCACAGCUCCAGCUGUCCAUGAGCUCUG